GUCAGAUCUGCACUGGCGGUGGUUCAGGAUAAUUGUGCUCAAGCUCACUACUGUCCAUAAACAUCUGAGACCCGAAAAGAGAUGUCUUUGAUCAGAUUCUCUUACUCCUACUCUCUUCCUCUCCUCUUCCUCUUUUCAAUCUCUGCAAUUCUUGCUCAAACUAAUGGGGACCCAACUACCAAAACCAUGGAGGAUUUCUCUGGUUAUCCUAUUCAUGAACCUUCUCAAACCUUCUUCCCUUCUUCACUUUCAGUGGACGCUCAAAGUCUGCAAAAACAGAUUGAUGAGCUAUCCACUUUCUCUGAUACUCCUGCCCCAUCAGUUACUAGGGUUUUAUACACUGAGAAGGACGUAUUAGCUCGCAGGUACAUCAAAAACUUGUUGGGACUCUCUGGGUUAUCUGUUAGAGAGGAUGCUAUUGGUAACAUAUUUGGUCGGUGGGAUGGCUCUGAGCCAGAGCUCACUGCAGUUGCGACUGGUUCUCACAUUGAUGCUAUUCCAUUUUCUGGGAAAUAUGAUGGAGUUGUUGGUGUUUUGGGUGCAAUUGAAGCCAUAAAUGUACUCAAAAGGUCUGGGUUCAAACCCAAAAGGUCUCUGGAGGUAAUCUUGUUCACCUCGGAAGAGCCAACUCGCUUUGGCAUUGGCUGCUUGGGAAGUCGCUUAUUGGCAGGGAGUGAAGCACUUGCAGAAGCCCUGAAGACAACAGUUGAUAGUCAAAACAUUUCCUUUCUGAAGGCUGCUAGAUCUGCUGGAUAUGCAAAAGAUCAAGAUGAUUUGUCGAGUGUUUUCUUAAAGAAGGGAAGUUACUCUGCAUUUGUGGAGCUGCAUAUAGAACAGGGGCCCAUUCUAGAGGCAGAGGGUCUAUCAAUUGGCAUAGUAACUGCAAUUGCGGCCCCUGCAAGCAUAAAAGUAGAUUUUGAAGGCAAUGGCGGUCAUGCAGGCGCUGUCUUGAUGCCAAAUAGGUGAUCUUUAGCCUUAUGCAAAUGCUUGUUGACUCAAAGCUCACUUGCCCCUUUAUCAACUUUUGUGCCUUUUUUCCUGUUGCUACUUUGUGCAGUAAUUGUUUUCUCAUGGAAAAAGAGAAUUCUACGUGAUUGCGAGUGCUUGCACAUGCAUACAUUGUGUACUUUUUGUGUAUGUCCACACACACAUAAGUAUGUAGUUUAUCUUUCUAUGGCAUUUUAACAGAUUUUUGUGAUGGCUAUUUUCUGCAUUUUUGAUGUUUGAGGCUCUUGUUUUACUUUUUCUUGUUGUAUUGAUUGACCAUAUUUGUUUCCUUUUUGGAAAAUACACAAUCUCCUUUUAUAUAAAUUUAUUUCCCUUCCUGAUUGUAACUUUAACCAGAUAAAGUGGCAAAUCAUAAUCAAGUCUUUUUAUCACGUUCAUUCUACAGUGUGGUUUCAGAUGUGUCAGACUGUCAGUUAGCAUAUUUUUCAACAUUUUUUGUUUUCUUGUUCAGUCAAGAUAAGAUUCUUAACUUUUACAUGUACAAUUUGGAUCAGAAAUGAUGCUGGAUUGGCAGCUGCAGAACUGGCUUUAGCUGUUGAGAAACGUGUGCUAGAAUCUGGUUCAGUCGAUACUGUUGGUACAGUAGGUGCGUCAUGUUUUCUUCAUGCCCAAGCGUCGUACCAUGGUUUUUCAUUGCAUUUAAUUUCCAAUUACAUUGUUGAAUCGCGGCCUCUUUUUUAACUAGCUACACUUCUCAUAGAUCUGUGGUAGAAAUGAUACUUUAUGUUUUUCAAGGUAUUCUGGAGUUGCAUCCUGGUGCCAUAAACAGCAUCCCGAGCAAAUCACACCUAGAAAUUGGUAUGCAUUUUUCUGUGAUUAAGAUUGCUCAAUGACACUCCCAAUUUGCUUAAAAAGUUUGUCCAUAGUUUUGCGUACAUAAGUUUGGUGUUAAUGCUUCCAGGUUUAUUUUCGAUUAUUCUACUUACAGAUUAUUUAAUCCAUUUCAGUCUUCUGAAUAGCGUAUUCUUAUUCUUUGUUCAAUAUUUUGACAGACACUCGUGAUAUUGACGAAAAGCGAAGAAAUAACGUAAUUGAGAAGAUUCAGCAAUCUGCAAUGACAAUAGCCAAAAACCGUGGGGUCAAGCUAUCAGCAUUCAAGGUCAUAAAUCAGGACCCACCAGCCCUCUCUGAUAAAUCAGUAAUUGAGGCAGUGGAAGCUGCAUCAAAAGAGUUAAACCUGACACACAAGUUGAUGAUAAGCAGAGCUUACCAUGAUUCACUGUUCAUGGCUAGGUAAGAGAAAUAUUGAUAAAUGGGUUAGAUGCUGGAUUUUGAUAAAUAGCGAUGAUAUCCAAAAAAAAGUUUUGCGGUCAGUUCUCUUUUUCUUGAACCUCUACACAAACAUAAGGACGUGUUUUUCAUUUCAUGUAUAUUCAACUUAUAUUAGUUGGUUGCUUAUAAUAAGUUUUAUCUUGAACUUCUACAUAGUUAUGCAAUAUACCUUCUCAAUAUGGUUCCUGAAAACUAGGAGACUGAUCUUCUUCUUCUUCUUCCUUUUUUAUUUUUUUCCAAUUUUUAUCUGUGGGUUUAUAAUGGUUGAGUACUUGCAUGCAAGAAGCGUGACUGGUCAUGCUUUGUGCCUUAUUGCGCCUUGCGUCACCUCACAUCGCCUCAUGAAGAUCACUUGUCUGGAGUGCUCCUAGGCGUUGUGCCCCUUGCACGCCUGUCUUGACAGCAUUUGUUUUCUUUUUUUUAAUUUUUUAUUUUUUUAAUGAUGCUUCUAUCUCUCAGGAUCUUCAUGG
rnacentral:misc_RNA from 1 species